UACAGAGGCCUCGAGCGUUAGGCGGAAUCACUGGGCUUAAAGCGUGUGUAGGCGGACCCCUAAGUACCUUGUGAAAUCCCACGGCUCAACCGUGGAACUGCCGGGCAUACUGGCGAUCUUGAGGCAUUCAGGGGCGAGCGGAACAAAUGGUGGAGCGGUGAAAUGCGUAGAUAUCAUUUGGAACGCCAAUGGUGAAAACAGCUCGCUGGGAAUGAUCUGACGGCUGAGACGGCGAAAGCCAGGGGAGCGAACGGG
rnacentral:rRNA from 1 species